rnacentral:sRNA from 1 species
UUUCUCGAGGGGCUCUCCUGGGCUUCUGAAGAAGGAGCCUCUCUGGAGUGCGGCGGAGGCGGCGCCUGCGAACCUAACUAGCUCCAGGUUAGGCCGGGCUUUGCGGGAAAGCAGCGGACUUGAAAAUACUGGAAAUCUGUCUGGAUCCAAAUUCUUUUGCAAGCCAGAUGAGUAACCAGAGGGCAUGAAAGGUUGAGAACAUUUGACUUCCCUGCAAACCUUGGUAUAGAUCACUUCCUUUUCUGUAGGAAAGGAAAGGCACCAAAGAGCACAAUGAGUACAUAGAGACGGGGUUUCAACGUGUUAGCCAGGAUGGUCUCGAUCUUCUGACCUUGUGAUCUGCCCGCCUCAGCCCCCCUCAGCCUCCCAAAGUGCUGGGAUUACAGGCGUGAGCCAACACACCUGGCCAGAACUUUUUAGAAGAGGCAAAGGCAGAGGAGAAUAAAGGAAGGAGGAAGUAACUUGUGGAAUGCUGAAAAAGAGAAAGCGUCGUGGUGGAGCAAUAAAUUCUAGACAAGCCCAGAAGCGAACUCGGGAAGCAACCUCCACCCCAG